ensembl:lncRNA
AUGUGUAAUCUGCAUGUGCUCAUGCAACAUGUUGUUUCAAUCUUUGUUGUUCUUCCAGGUGUGUGUGCUGCAGCAAAGGAUCGCCCCCUUAUGACGAGCUGUAGCAGGGCUUCGACAGCAAAGAAUCCUGGAGACAUGAAAGAGGUUUUCUGCGUCCUCUUGCUAUUGGUUGAGCCAUCGGUGACCAGCAGAGAGCACAACAGUCAGCACUUUAAUAUAAACUGUCCCCUUUGCAAGGACAGAACUUUAUAAAGGCAAUUAAAUGUGUAGUUGUGCCUUUUUUUUCUACUGUAAUUGAUAAAACAAUAAAAAAAACUAUGUAACUCCUGACUUGUCUUGUGCCCCUCAUAUCUAUGAGCAAAUAAAUGAAGCCUGGGUGUAGUAUAAAUAGUUGCAUUUCCACAUGUACAGAAUGUAUCGUUAACUUAUUGUAAGAAUUAUCACAUGUUGCUAAAUGCACUUUGCAUUACUCUGGUUUAAAGAUUUAAAAGCAGAAAGAUUUCUCUUCAGCCCAUCUCCUAAAGUGCCCUCGGAUCCAAAUUUAAAAUUUGUAGUGGUAUUUUUUCCCCCCACUAGUGAGCAGUACAUUUACAGUAGCACCUGUAAUGGGUCCCCCACUCCCAAGAUAUGGGCAAGAUGCCCAGACUAAAAUGAGGCAGCCAUGUUUGUAGUUUUGUCACUCUGAAAACGGUUGCAUUUACUACAGAACAAACUAAAUCAAUGGGGAAUUCUCUGGACGGAUCAUAUACCUGCCAUCGUUAACAUUAAAGAAUAACCGUUAAGGAAACAUUUCGUGCACCAGGUAUCAUUGACCUAAAGGCCCUGUCACACUGCCGUAUGCUGGUGCGUAUGAACAUUAGCAUACAAAACGUAUCCAACGAAUGGCCAACGUAACGUAUGUUCAAAACCAUUUUACGGCCUCAGUGUUCAACGUACACCGCGUAUUACCGAAAUUCCGUAUACUGCUAUAUCCGUGGAAGCAAAAAACGGGAGGGUUGACCCGUGUGUCUUAAACAGUCCCCCCCCCCCCUCUCCCCUAGAGUCCAGCGCUCCGUCCGUCAAGUGCAACAACUUGAUCUGGGAUGCCACGGUGGAGCCAGGAGCAGGCUGGUUAGUGGUCCUAGCUCUUAUCCCGACUCUUCUGGGCGGUCACUCUACCCUCAGUGGUGUUUGCUAUGGCUAGGUCAGGGGUCGGCAACCUUUACUAUCAAAAGAGCCAUUUUGCCACCUCUUCCACCAAAUAAGAUUUGUCUGGAACCGGAAAACACGACUCUUUUGAAGAGAAGGAGAAAGUACAGUGGCAUGUUUAAUAUAUGCUGGCCCAUUUGAGUCCUCCCCAUAAUUAUUGAAUUAAAAUGAAGUGAAUAUAAUAUAAAAUGCAUAAAACAAUAUAAAAAGGAAAUGAAUAAAAAAAGUAUCCCACUUUGAAAUAAAACAUAUAGCUGAAGCCUAAUAGCUUAAAAAGAGUAAACAUGAAGUACGCCAGUUUGUAUUUAAUUAUGUCCGUUUCAGAGUAUCAUCCACAUGGAAGUGAUGUUCGUUUCUUUGGCUUUUAAACGAUUCACAACAGCUUCAAGAAUGUCCCCACCGCCUGCCACAAUAUCACCUCGAACUCCAAGAUAAGAGGUGUUCCCCUUGAAAGAUUGUCCACUGUGCAACAAAAAAUAUAUACAAAUUUAGUUCCAUGUUUUCUUUUCUCAAGGCUACAGGGAGCCCCUACAGAGGGGUUAAAGAGCCGCAUGUGGCUCCUGAGCCGCGGGUUGCAGACCCCUGGGCUCCGUGAUCGUUUGAAGGUCUGCUGCUCUGUCAUAUGACAUAUGUUAAAUAAAAACUAAAAUUAUGCAAAGUACAAGGAAGCUACUGGACGCCACAUCUGCAUGCACUGCUGUCUCCAUGGUGUGGCAGAUUUGGGUCUCUUUGUGGUCUUUUUGCAUAUGUGGUCGUUUUUUGUCUUUUGCAUCACUUUGUAGUUUUGUGUAUUUUUUGUGGUCUCUGCGCCUCUGAUCGUUUUGCGUCACUUUGUGGUAGUUUUGCAUCUAUGUGGUAAUUGUACAUGUCUUUGUGGUAUUUAAAUAUUAACUGUCACUUCAUACAAAAGCCAGGAGAAUGUUCCCAGUUUCAUGCAUAUUCAGUAAUCCAUCCACGAGGUAGGGAUGAUUCAUUUUAAAGAAUGAGGAUUUGGGUGGAGUAUUGCUUUAAGGGAUCUAUGGUGGGAAAUUCUUCCGAUAACACCGUCUAAAAGAAGUGGGUGAAGGUUCACAGAAGGGAACAAAGUGAUCUCAUCACAUCAAAAACAAAUUGUACAAGCACCCAGCAACAACACUGGGCUGUGCUGUUCACAUGACACCAUACAUACCCUUUAAAAACACCCACUACACUGU